UGACCCAAUGUGCUACUGCUGCUACUGCUGCUUGCUGCUCCUGCUGUGUGCCCGCCCAGCCCCGCCCCCUGCCCCGCCCGCCUGUCCAGCAUAGCCUGGAGUGGCGGGCGGGGCACAGCUUGUCCACCAGUCAGGGCAGCUGGAGCUUUUCCAACUGUGCUGAGAGCUGCAUGGCUGCAAGCUGAUUGGACCCACAACUUAAGUAUACCUCACUUCUCGCAAUGGGCUGUGUCCCUGGAGGAUUUCGAAAAGCGAAUCCUACCCAGUAAAUGCAGCAUUCCAGGAACACCUUGAAGGAAAUAUGCGAUUCCUUUGGCAAAGGAUUCCUUUAGCAGGAUUCCUGCAAAGGGAGCUCUCAGGGUAGAUAGUUUUAUGCACAAAGCGCUUUCUUCCAGUUUGGCUUUAAGAGAAGCACUUUUGCGCGCGCACUUGCGCGCUCUUUUUCCAUAAAAUGAUUCCCCCUUUUUUCCUUUUCUUUCUUUCUUUCCUUCUUUAUUUAUUUAUUUUUUGGAAGUGUUCUUUCCCCUUCCGUUUUUGUCCUGCGCAGGGCAUUUUCCUCUAGUUGAUUUAUUCAAAGUGUGUUCCCAAUUCGUUUUCUUUUCCCUGAUUCUUUGUUUCUUUUCCAAUGCGCUUUUAUCCAAUCCAUUUUUUUCUCCUAGUAAGUGCCUUUGUCUGUUUAUUUUUCCUGCAAUGCGUGUUUUCUCUAUUUCCUCCCCCUUACUUUUUUCUCUUAUUUAUUGCGAUUCUU
rnacentral:lncRNA from 1 species